rnacentral:tmRNA from 1 species
GGGGAUGUUCUGGAUUCGACAGGGGUAUGUUUGACCUUAGCUGCAGUCGUCGGAGUACGUUAAACUCACAAACAAAAAUAACUGGAAACAGACAAACUAAUUACGCUUUCGCUUAGUCGACAUAGACAUGAAAGCUGCUAUCAUUGAGUAUGCCUAUAGCUCUUUGAUAGUAUCAUACUCAUAGGAUAAGGGUGACUGGAGUCUUGACAGUCAUCACGAAAAUUUAAAGAAUCGCCUGGUGUAAAAUUGUUCAUUGAUUGUAGCCAGGUUAAAUUAUUCAAUGGACUAAACUGUAGACGCUUUGGAGGAAUUGCUUUUGGACAGGGGUUCGAUUCCCCUCAUCUCCACCA